UACGAGGGGGGCAAGCGUUGUUCGGAAUUAUUGGGCGUAAAGGGUGCGUAGGCGGCGCGGUAUGUCUCUUGUGAAAUCUCCAGGCUCAACUUGGAGUCUGCAAGGGAAACUGCCGUGCUUGAGGACUGGAGAGGAGACUGGAAUUUACGGUGUAGCGGUGAAAUGCGUAGAUAUCGUAAGGAAGACCAGUGGCGAAGGCGGGUCUCUGGACAGUUCCUGACGCUGAGGCACGAAGGUCAGGGGAGCAAACGGG
rnacentral:rRNA from 1 species